rnacentral:ncRNA from 1 species
CUGCGAGUAAGGCCCGUCCGAGGCUGUGAUGCCUGCGGCUGCGGGAUGGGAGCAAUAGGACGGGGUUCGCAC